AACGAACGCUGGCGGCAGGCUUAACACAUGCAAGUCGAGCGCCCCGCAAGGGGAGCGGCAGACGGGUGAGUAACGCGUGGGAAUCUACCCAUCUCUACGGAAUAACGCAUGGAAACGUGUGCUAAUACCGUAUACGUCCUUCGGGAGAAAGAUUUAUCGGAGCUGGAUGAGCCCGCGUUGGAUUAGCUAGUUGGUGGGGUAAAGGCCUACCAAGGCGACGAGCCAUAGCUGGUCUGAGAGGAUGAUCAGCCACACUGGGACUGAGACACGGCCCAGACUCCUACGGGAGGCAGCAGUGGGGAAUAUUGGACAAUGGGCGCAAGCCUGAUCCAGCCAUGCCGCGUGAGUGAUGAAGGCCCUAGGGUUGUAAAGCUCUUUCACCGGUGAAGAUAAUGACGGUAACCGGAGAAGAAGCCCCGGCUAACUUCGUGCCAGCCGCCGCCGUAAAAC
rnacentral:rRNA from 1 species